rnacentral:rRNA from 1 species
AUUGAACGCUGGUGGCAGGCCUAACAUAUGCAAGUCGAGCGGAGCGGCGGACGGGUGAGUAAUGCCUAGGAAUCUGCCUGGUAGUGGGGGAUAACGUCCGGAAACGGGCGCUAAUACCGCAUACUAUCAGAUGAGGCUAGGUCGGAUUGGCUAGUGGGUGGGGUAAAGGCCUACCAAGGCUACGAUCCGUAACUGGUCUGAGCGGAUGAUCAGUCACACUGGAACUGAGACACGGUCAAGGCUCCAUCGGAAGGCGGCAGUGUGGAAUAUUGGAGAAUGGGCGAAAGCCUGGUCCAGCCAUGCCGCGUGUGUUAAGAAGGUCUUCGGAUUGAACAGCACUUUAAGUUGGGAGGCGUUACAACCAGAAUAAGCACCGGAUAACUUCGUGCCAGCAGCCGCGGUAAUUC